rnacentral:piRNA from 1 species
AACAGUGUUAGACCUGGAUUUGGU